GGGCUCAAACCUGUUGCAGAACCAGCUGCAGAGAUGAGAGGAUUUCUGCAGGUAGGGAGCAGCUAUGGAAUGUGGAGGCCAAGCCCUCACACAUUGGUCCAGGUGCUGCUGUUUUGUAUAAAUAAGGGCAGAUGGGAAGUAAUGCAGCAGUGGGGCAUAAUAAAUUUAUUGCCUCAGGGCUGUGGCCAUGCAUGUUACCUCCCUGUCCUGUGGAGCAGCCCCUCACAGCAGUGACAGCCCUGGGUGGGUGGGCAGGAGGGUCAGCCCAAGAGCUACCCUGCUUUGGAUUUGGAGUGCGCUGCCAUCCGCUGCAGUCGUUCACGGGAUGUUGCACCCCGGGGGAUUAGAAAAGCCAUUCUAGGUAACAGCAGCCCUGAAGGUUUUACACCAGCAGCCUGGCUCCAGCCAACACAGAAAGAUAAAGGGGAGAGAAAGGGGUCACAUCAUGAAGGGCAGCUAGAAGAGUAUGGGAAAUGCAUAGCUCUGGUGAGUCAAGCUGAAGAUACUUCGGGUUGAAUUUUCAAGCCUCCUUUCUGAAGCUGUGAAUGCAAGCUGCAGGCAGGCAAGUAUAGGCCAGAGACAACUCACAGAAAUGCUGACUUGCUCAUGAAAAUGCAGAUUUUACAGUUGUGUGUGUAAGAACAUUCACAUAGCAAGUAAGAAGCUGUGAACUGUUUCCCUUGAUGCAGACUGAGCUUUCCAUCUUCGGUGCAGGCUCAGUUUUAAGGGAAAGUAAACUAAUUCCUGAUUCUGAAUGAGAAUCAGUUGUCCGUUUGCAUCGAGUCUUUGCAUUCUGUUUUCAGCCGUACAUUUAUAAGAUAUCCAGAGGUGCAGGAACUGAAACUGCAGAAAAUAUUUGUGGGAUUCCACAGAGACGGAAGCUGCCACUGGUUUGCACGUGUGAAUUUUGCCAGUGCAUUCUGGUGGCUUAGAAUAAAAGUCUGGUGCUUGCUCAUAAUGAAAGUUGAACCUAAAACUGGCCAUAUUCAAAUUCCCAGUGCCCAACAAACUGGAGUCUGGGGGCUUAAGGCAGAAGAGAGGGACAACACCAGGCAAAGGUGUUGUUAUAUUUAUUUUAGUGAUUAGAGUUGGGUGAAAAUGAUUAGCUGAAAGGGUUCUGAGUAAACCAAUUUAAAAUGUAAUUAUGAAGGGCUCAAGAUAGUGUGUGUGUGUGUGUAAUUAUGUUUCUUGCCCAUGUGCACACUGUACUCAGUGAUUUUGUUCUGCAGCGAGUGGAAGGGGGAGGCAGGGGUGUGCAGGGGAGUAGCUGCACAGGUAGCAGCCGCUGGUGAUGGGCUGCUUGUGCUGGGUUCACCCUGUGAUCUGAGGUGUGCUUUUAGCUGCUCCUGAGCUAGCGCUAGGCUGGGUAUCAAACCUGGUGUAGCCAUAGCAAUACGUAGUUGUGUUUCAGCCGCUCAGAGCUGGGGACAAACAGCUGGGCAGGCAAUGGCAGUGAGCUUGUGCUGCUCUCCUGGGAUGCUCCCAGGCUAUGACACAGCGAGCUGGGACAAAACCAGCUCAGGGCUGCCCAUACAAGCUGUGGCGUGGCUUGGGACGAGAUCACUGACGUUCUGGCUAGCAGCAUUUCUAGGCUGUCUGUAUCGCCCUUGUGACCAGCAGCGAGGAGUGAGCCGCAUCUGAUCAGCAAGUUGUCACAGACCAGAUUGCAUCCACACUGUUGGGAGUGAAGUCACUGUGGAGUGGGCUCGCAGCAUCGAAACCCUGCGCUCCCAAGUGAGCUGCAUCCGCAGGGAGUAGGUGUGUGAGCAGGGGGACUGCCCCUCCAACUAUGCUCCGCUGUCCUGCCAGAUGCCAGCCUGGGGCUGGAGCCUGGGCUGAGCAGCCCAGCGCAGCGUUGAGACUGCACACAUCUAGGAGGACAAGCCACAUGGGCCAUGUGGAGACACCUUUUGGGGCUGUUGCAUCUGGGCUUUCAUCCAGCUGGUUUUUCUUCUGUAUUCUCAUAUUACCGAAGGCACAAAAGGUCAGGAAAUAUUCCUAGCAUCCCUCUCAUGUUAAGCAGGGAAGACAGGGAGAGAAAGGAGAGGAGAAGUUGCCAGUGGAAGGUGACAGGGAAGUCAUUAAGAGGGUGAAGUCAGGAGUGCCAAAAUACAAUUUAUCAUCAGUGGUGAGCAGUGAGCAUUUGUGGGACAUGGUACCAAAUGAACAUGUCUGAGUUAGGUAGUGAGCUGUUCACAGAGGCACAUUUAGGAUAGAAAGUGAAAGGACACACUCCCGCUGACUCAGGCACUUGUCUAUAACGUGAGAGUGAUCCCUUUAGUGAGAGCUGCAGCCGGAGCGGCAGCUGCUGCGCUGCACGGGACUCCUGCCUUCAUCUGACACGGGGACGGAGGGCAGGAAGGAGCCUCCUGGGACAGCCUGCUCCAUCGCUGCUAUCGCGCCCUGUAAUUCUUCAUCAAGCACAAUCUUAAAAAAGCAGUGUCGUGCCCAUGUUGUUUCGUCGUUUCCUUAUGUUCUCUGUAUGUCUGCUUUCUGUUACUGGUCUUAAUUGGGUUGUUAGCUGCUCGAGGCAGCAGUGCCCUUCCUGUCCUCUCAUCGUUUGCUGCAUUGGGCCAAUAUCACACAGACUAUCGCGUUGGCACUUCAGACACAUCCACUGGCAUUUUUUGGACAUGGGCUGCAAGACUGAGAUGUUCCAUUGGGACAGGCACAUUUUCACAGCAGGAAACCCAUGUUUCUGUUUUGUCCUUUGAUCAGUAGGUGCUGGUGUGUGUCUGAGGUUCCUGGUGAUUUUUUUUCAGCACAAACAACUAAUCCUUUUCUUACUUAAUCAUUCAGUGGGCACCAAUGUGUGCCUCUGAGUAACAGCCUAAAAAUCAGAACUUCUAGCCAAAUCUUGCAUUUUGCCAAACCCACAAAUCAAACUUUGAAAAAUUGGUACAAGAAGAAAUAAAGCUUCCCAAUAAAGAGAAAGGAAUAUUUCAGCUGCUGUCAUCUUAACUCUUAAUACCUUCUUGCAGGAAAGUACUAUUUUUGGAAGAUGGCAAGGGAAAUGAAAAGGGGUAGCAAUGCUUACAGCUGAUAACACUGACCUGUUUUCCUGGCAUUCCUCCAAAUGCAAGGCCAGCUUUGCUUGAAAUGUAGGUGGUUCAUCAGUUGAAUUGCAAGCAGAUAGUGUGGUGCAGAAGCACAGUCAUAGACACGUUAUUAUUUCAAUAACCUGAGUUUUAACUCUUCCCCUUUGAAAACUAAUGAAGCAAAUAAUGUUAUGACACAGAUGUAGGCAGUGAAAAUGUGUCAGAGAAAGGCAAUUAACCUCUGUACUAAUAAAAUCUGUCAAAUUAGUAAAAUAUUUUUUAUGUAUUAUAAUAGCUACUAAGAAAUAUAUAGGCCAUGAGUAUUCAAUGCUGCAAGCCUUGUGGAAUCAUUUAUACCUUUGAAAAGUAGAUGUAAAACUUCAUCAAGGAGAAGCAGGAGGUUUUAAUAUCUUCUUUGCGCAGGUGUAAAUGAGUCAAAUGUCACAGGGUGACUUUUGCUGGGGUGGGUUGUGGAUUUCUCGGAUCUCAGUGGCCUCCUGCCCCUCCUGCUACAGCAAGGGUUGGGCUUUUGUUUCCACAUACAAGCAUCCUUUAGUCACUUACCUGUUACGUUAUCCAUUCUCUGCCAGAUGGCCAUGGGGCAUUCUGAGCUGAAACACAAUUAAAAAACAAAGCAAAAUGGAUUAUCUAAUCCAGCUACCUGGCUGGAGAAAUGGGAUUAGAUGAGAUGGUUGCCUGGAGCAGGAGAAGGUUCCCUCCAGCCCUUGUUCUUUGUCUCUGCCUCAGCA